rnacentral:rRNA from 1 species
UAGGGAAUAUUAGAAAUGGACGAAAGUCUGAUCUAGCCACACCGCGUGUGCGAAGAAGGCCUUCGGGUCGUAAAGCACUUUUUGGAAGGAAUAGGAAGGAAUGUACUUCCAGAAUAAGUCCCGGCUAACUACGUGCCAGCAGCCGCGGUAACACGUAGGAGGCGAACGUUAUCCGGAUUUACUGGGCGUAAAGCGCGUGGAGGUGGUUCUGUAAGUAGGGCGUGAAAGCUCCUGGCUCAACUGGGAGAGGCCGUUCUAAACUAC